GAUGAACGCUGGCGGCGUGCUUAACACAUGCAAGUCGAGCGGAAAUAUGAAAUCCAAGAGUUUCGGCUGGAGGAUUUCAUAUUUUAGCGGCGGACGGGUGAGUAACGUGUGGGUAACCUGCCCUGUACUGUGGAAUAAUCACUGGAAACGGUGACUAAUACCGCAUGUCAUCGCGAGAGGGCAUCCUCUUGCGAGAAAAGGAUUUAUUCGGUACAGGAUGGACCCGCAUCUGAUUAGCUAGUUGGUGAGAUAACAGCCCACCAAGGCAACGAUCAGUAGCCGACCUGAGAGGGUGAUCGGCCACAUUGGGACUGAGACACGGCCCAAACUCCUACGGGAGGCAG
rnacentral:rRNA from 1 species